CCCCUGUGAGAGCCAAGAAGCCUCGAA
rnacentral:piRNA from 1 species